rnacentral:lncRNA from 1 species
GCCAAUUGUGCUAUUUCCCAUUCCACACACUGUACAAAGGAACCAUUUUCUAGCAUUUUACUAUGCUGAUACAAUCUGAAAAUAUCAAUAAAGGUAGCUUUGGGCAUACAUUAAAACAAGCUUUCAAGCCAUUUUUCUUGUUCCAUGUCCAAUUCAACAUUCACAUGCAUACAGGCAGCCAUACCUGAGAAAUCAACUCCUUUCAAAGCUUCCAAUGAGGGUUUUUCAUCACAGUUAAACGAAAAGGUCACAAGAGGAUGCUAACCCUUCAGAUGAUUUUCAAUAAGCUUCAAUUCCUGUGUUGUGUGAACUUCAAAUAUAAUUAGGUCACCUUGAAAUCCGAAUAUCUAGAGAGCACGGAUAAGCAUUGCAGCUAAAUUACGGUUUACAUUUCUAUCAACACUAGUUCAAAAGAAGUUGAGAAACUUGGACUAACACAAAAAACAAACAAACAAGAGGAGCAGCUCCUGAGCUUGACAAGCUCAUUCAGCGCCGUGCCUUUGCUCUCCUUCGACUCAACCUUGUUAUCUUUCUUACAAUGUGGAAACAAACCAACCAAAGUUCAACAUCAAAUGCCGAUACCUAGAAAGUUAGAAACCCCCACAUUCAACAAAUUCAACAUAAAAGUAAACACCUAGAAACAUAAGCCAUAUUGGACAACUGAAUUUGCUGAACUAACAUCAAAUUUAGAAAACCUAGCCAUCAAAUACUCAAAAUAAUAGUAGUAAUAAUGUAUACCUGAAACUAAUGUGACGGGAGCAAGUAAGUAACCAAGACUUUCUCUUUAUUCCGAAAACGAGGAGUAUCAAUUCUUCCUUUUAUCUUUAGAAAUGGCUUUGAAUCCUUAAAGCGUUCUCUUAGGCCGUUCCGACGCGGUUUCUUCCUUCUCCCCAUUCUUCGCCGCCUCCGUUUUCUCUGUGCUUACGCUUCUUCCCGAUUUGAUUAAACGAGAUUAAGCACAAUUUUUUUAAAUUUGAAAC